GAUGAACGCUGGCGGCGUGCCUAAUACAUGCAAGUCGAGCGAACAGACGAGGACUUUGUUCCCCUGACGUGAUGCGCAGGCGUGAGAAUAGCGUGGGUAUCACGCAUCUAUGAGGCUGGUAAAACUUCGGAACAACAGAUAAAACACCGGAUAAGAUAAUGAUCCACAAGGUUCAAUAAUAAAAUGCAAUUUUAUCGCUACUAGAAGGACCAGCGUCGCAUUAGCUAGUUGGUGAGGUAACGGCUUACCAAGGCAACGAUGCAUAGCCGACCUGAGAGGGUGAUCGGCCACACUGGAACUGAGACACGGUCCAGACUCCUACGGGAGGCAGCAGUAGGGAAUCUUCCGCAAUGGACGGAAGCUUGACCGAGCAACGCCGCGUGAGUGAUGAAGGUCUUCGGAUCGUAAAACUCUGUUAUUAGGGAAGAACGAAUGUGUAAGUAAAUAUGCCCGUCUGGAACGUACCUAAACAGAAAACCACCGCUAAACUCCUU
rnacentral:rRNA from 1 species